rnacentral:rRNA from 1 species
UAAUACGUAGGGCGCGAGCGUUGUCCGGAAUCACUGGGCGUAAAGGGCGCGCAGGUGGGUUCGCAAGCGGGGGGUGAAAGGCCGGGGCUCAACCCCGGGACUGCUUCCCGAACUGCGGAUCUAGAGGGGGUCAGGGGCCAGCGGAAUUCCGGGUGGAGAGGUGAAAUUCGUAGAGAUCCGGAGGAACGCCGGCGGCGAAAGCGGCUGGCUGGGGCCGCCCUGACACUGAGGCGCGAGAGCGUGGGGAGCAAACAGGAUUAGAUACCCUGGUAGUCCACGCCGUAAACGAUGGGUACCGGGUGUCCGGGGGGUCGACCCCCCUGGGUGCCGCAGCUAACGCGAUGAGUACCCCGCCUGGGGAGUACGGCCGCAAGGCUA